UUGUGGGAAACAUAAAUUUGUAAAAUACUUUUGAGAGAUACACUUGUUUUUUGAGAGAUACGCUUGUUGUGCUUGUGCAAAUCACAUCAAGGUUUCCAAAGUAUCCUGAAGGGGAUUCGCAGUUCAUCCCAUUUGCAUCCAAUAUACUUAGAUUGGUGGGGGCGAAUCGAACCUAAAGGUUAGUGUGGUAACACACGCUUUGGAGGUUUCGACGUGCAUAUCCAUCAACAUCUUCUUUGUCCAAGUGGUGUAGCAUCUUCCCCAACAAUCAAGAUUUUCCAACAGACAGCACAAUUUAUAAAGGCAAAAAAACUGACCAUGACAUCACCUCGCCCGAGGAUUCAAGAAAAGGACAAGGCGUCUCAGGUCACUGCAUUCACCCCUUCCUCACUCAUAAGGUAAUUUUUCAAAGGGGACAAAGAAUGAAAGGUGGGGACCUGUUCUAUUAGUCUAUGUCAUGUUUUAAAUUGUGUGGAAGAUACAGCAUUUGCAUGACUAUAGUAUAUGUCAUGUUUUAAAUUUUCUAUUUAA